UUUUCCUACUGUCUUCUAAAAGGGUUUUGAAUUGUCUGUGUUGAGCUCACUUGUGGUGGCAUCCAGGGUGGAGAUGGGAGAACAGGAGGAACC
rnacentral:miRNA from 1 species